rnacentral:rRNA from 1 species
AUUGAACGCUGGCGGCAUGCUUUACACAUGCAAGUCGAACGGUAACAGGGAGCUUGCUCCGCUGACGAGUGGCGAACGGGUGAGUAAUGCGUCGGAACGUGCCGAGUAGUGGGGGAUAACGCAUCGAAAGGUGUGCUAAUACCGCAUACGAACUGAGGUUGAAAGUGGGGGACCUUCGGGCCUCACGCUAUUCGAGCGGCCGACGUCUGAUUAGCUAGUUGGUGAGGUAAAGGCUCACCAAGGCGACGAUCAGUAGCGGGUCUGAGAGGAUGAUCCGCCACACGGGGACUGAGAGACGGCCCAGACUCCUACGGGAGGCAGCAGUGGGGAAUUUUGGACAAUGGGCGCAAGCCUGAUCCAGCCAUGCCGCGUGUCCGAAGAAGGCCUUCGGGUUGUAAAGGACUUUUGUCCGGGAGCAAAUGCUGGUGGCUAACAUCCACCGGAGCUGAGAGUACCGGAAGAAUAAGCACCGGCUAACUACGUGCCAGCCGCCGCAGUAAAAC